rnacentral:lncRNA from 1 species
CAGCGCCGCCGCCGCCCCAUCAGCCAUUGCCACCGACAGGCUGCGCCGGCGCCGCCACGCUGCUCUCCACCUCCGACGCUGGCCCAACAGCGUCACCACCAACGCCCCUCACGUGCUCCAGUGCCGUCGCUGCUGCCGGGCUGCCUCGUCAACCGUCGCCGCCGCCGAGCUGCGCCGGCGCCGCGCACUGGGCUGCGCCUCGCCGCCUCCUACUGUGACGUCGGCACAACACUGUCGUCGCCGAUCUAUCCCAUGGAUUAUCGAACUGGAAGCUCAAGUGCUAGUGCUAGUGCAUCUAGCCAUCCUAGUGGUAGUCCGGCUCCUAAUUCUGCUGCUGAUUUAUCAAGAGGAACUAGUGGUCCAGCAAGGGCAAGCAACCUCUUGAAUGCUUGCCGUGUGAUUCCUCCCAAUGACAAUGAAAACAAGCCAUUGUGGAGGUAUGUUGAGUUAAUGGAGAAAACAGGUAAAGGCCAGGGAGGGAAUGUAAGGUUUAGAUGCAGGCUUUGUGGUAAUAUUAUGCAUGGGAGCUACUCAAGAGUUAAAGCACAUCUCUUGAAGGUGGGAUCUAAUGGUGUAGCUCCCUGUCCAAAGGUAACAAUCGAUGUUCUUAGUCAACUUCACGAUGAAAUGGCUAGAGCUGCAGCAGUUGCUGAAAGGAACUUGCCUAAGGACAUCCCACUGCCAGCAGAGGGCGCGAGUAGGGGGAAGAGAAGGGUUGUUUCAGCUAUUGAGUCUAGCUUCAAUUCAGAUACUCGUUCCAACCUUGAUGCUUUGAUUGCGAGAAUGUUCUACACAGCAGGUUAG